CAGUGAGUGUGGGAUAAGGUGAUUUGUAGCACCUGUGCUCUGUUUCCUACCAUAGAGACAUUAAGAGGAAGACAUCUUUGGUCUGAGUGCAUCCCUUUCA